GAUGAACGCUGGCGGCGUGCCUAAUACAUGCAAGUCGAGCGAACGGACGAGAAGCUUGCUUCUCUGAUGUUAGCGGCGGACGGGUGAGUAACACGUGGAUAACCUACCUAUAAGACUGGGAUAACUUCGGGAAACCGGAGCUAAUACCGGAUAAUAUUUUGAACCGCAUGGUUCAAAAGUGAAAGACGGUCUUGCUGUCACUUAUAGAUGGAUCCGCGCUGCAUUAGCUAGUUGGUAAGGUAACGGCUUACCAAGGCAACGAUGCAUAGCCGACCUGAGAGGGUGAGCGGCCACACUGGAACUGAGACACGGUCCAGACGCCUACGGGAGGCAGCAGUAGGGAAUCUUCCGCAAUGGGCGAAAGCCUGACGGAGCAACGCCGCGGGAGGGAUGAAGGUCUUCGGAUCGUAAAACUCUGUUAUUAGGGAAGAACAUAUGUGUAAGUAACUGUGCACAUCUUGACGGUACCUAAUCAGAAAGCCACGGCUAACUACGUGC
rnacentral:rRNA from 1 species